UCGGUUCCAGCGGCUUUCUUCUUAGUUUUCUUUUUGGGACGCUGUACGGGUAUCGCGUCAUCCAUAGCGGUCCCCUCAUCUCGGGAAGUCGCCUCGUCGCGGGCCCUCUUCUUCUUCUUCUUCUUCUUUGUCCCUUGACCCUCGGACGACGUGGCGAGAGAAGCAGACAAAAGCGGAGAAGUCUCAUCCGCCGAUUUCUCUGUCGUCUUCUUAUCUUUCUUCUUCUUUUUGGGACUCGGAGCUGAAGGUUCGACC
rnacentral:lncRNA from 1 species